AUUGAACGCUGGCGGCAUGCCUUACACAUGCGAGUCGAACGGCAGCACGGGAGCUUGCUCCUGGUGGCGAGUGGCGAACGGGUGAGUAAUACAUCGGAACGUACCCUGAAGUGGGGGAUAACGUAGCGAAAGUUACGCUAAUACCGCAUAUUCUGUGAGCAGGAAAGAGGGGGAUCGCAAGACCUCUUGCUUUAGGAGCGGCCGAUGUCGGAUUAGCUAGUUGGUGAGGUAAAGGCUCACCAAGGCGACGAUCCGUAGCGGGUCUGAGAGGAUGAUCCGCCACACUGGGACUGAGACACGGCCCAGACUCCUACGGGAGGCAGCAGUGGGGAAUUUUGGACAAUGGGCGCAAGCCUGAUCCAGCCAUGCCGCGUGAGUGAAGAAGGCCUUCGGGUUGUAAAGCUCUUCGUGGGGAGGAAAUUGCUUCGGUUAAUACCUGGAGUAGAUGACGGUACCGCAUAAGAAGCACCGGCUAACUACGUG
rnacentral:rRNA from 1 species